rnacentral:rRNA from 1 species
GUCAGCAGCCGCGGUAACACCGGCGGCCCGAGUGGUGAUCGUGAUUAUUGGGUCUAAAGGGUCCGUAGCCGGUUGGUCAGUCCUCCGGGAAAUCUGACAGCUCAACUAUUAGGCUUUCGGGGGAUACUGCCAGGACUUGGAACCGGGAGAGGUAAGAGGUACUACAGGGGUAGGAGUGAAAUCUUGUAAUCCCUGUGGGACCACCUGUGGCGAAGGCGUCUUACCAGAACGGGUUCGACGGUGAGGGACGAAAGCUGGGGGCACGAACCGGAUUAGAUACCCGGGUAGUCCCAGCCGUAAACGAUGCUCGCUAGGUGUCAGGCAUGGCGCGACCGUGUCUGGUGCCGCAGGGAAGCCGUGAAGCGAGCCACCUGGGAAGUACGGCCGCAAGGCUGAAACUUAAAGGAAUUGGCGGGGGAGCACAACAACGGGUGGAAGCCUGCGGUUUAAUUGGACUCAACGCCGGACAACUCACCGGGGGCGACAGCAAUAUGUAGGCCAAGCUGAAGACUUUGCCUGAAUCGCUGAGGGGAGGUGCAUGG